GGCACUGUCUCAACCAUGAGCUCGGUGAAAUUGUAGUCUCGGUGAAGAUGCCGGGUACCCGCAACGGGACGGAAAGACCCCGUGAACCUUUACUAUAGCUUCGCAUUGAUUUCGGGUAAAUGAUGUGUAGGAUAGGUGGGAGACUUUGAUCUUGCUUCGCCAGGAGUAAGUUAGUCAACCUUGAAAUACCACCCUUUAUUUGCUUGAAGUCUAACGCGUUUACGCGAACAGUGCGUGGUGGGUAGUUUGACUGGGGUGGUCGCCUCCAAAAGAGUAACGGAGGCUUCUAAAGGUGUCCUCAGCACGCUUGGUAACCGUGCGUAGAGUGCAAUAGCAUAAGGACGCUUGACUGUGAGACCGACAAGUCGAGCAGGGACGAAAGUCGAGUAUAG
rnacentral:rRNA from 1 species